CAUUAACAGCAACUGAAAGCUUCGCUGAUGAAGAUAAAUGGUGAGAUUGUUACACUAAGGAUUUAAAAGAUCCCCGGUGCUAUAGAAGAGCAAGGCUUUCUCUCCAGUGUCCAAGAAAAUAUUUAUCUAUCAAAUCAACAGCUCUGACAUGAUCUGGGAACGGGUGAGAGAGAUGACAGCAUGACAUCUGGAGCAGGUUAGAAGGCAUUCUAGCCUCAUACCUGGAGAGAGUAGGAAGGAGGUGUUCCAGUAAUUUGUUUUUGUUGGGAGUUACACCGCCAUCAUCUGGAAGAGGGGAGCAGAAGGAUCCAAUGACAUUUUCUUUCAAUGAUGCUCUGAAUGGGUCAGCACAAUGAAGAAUGUCCACCCAAUUUCAUUCCUGUUUCAAACAUUCUGAAGCAGAGAAGAAGUAAGCCAAAUUCUGUCGAUGACCCUUUUAGCAUCACUCCAACAGCAUGUCCUGUGGCCGAAACAUCAGCUUUCCUGCUCCUCUGAUGAUGCCCGGCCAGCUGUAUUCCUCCAGCUCCACACAGUGUUAUCUCUGUCUCCAGCAUCGGCAAUUCUUAGCAUCUCACAAUGACAGCAACUUGUGUAUUCUGAUGAUGCCUCAUGUAGAGCAAAGCUUCUCAAAGCUUUCGUGGAAAUCUGCAUUUAGUUGAACAUAGCUCUCAUCCUAUAGCGUGCAUGACAAAGGUCACAGACUGUCCAAUCGAACUAUCAGUAUAUUUGUCAUGCUAUUUGAACAACAUUGUUAGAUGCAUAAUUCAUAGCUGUCUCAGCAUAUAACAUUCACUUUUAUGUGUUCAAAUCCCCUGAGGAAAUUUGAGCAUAAAAUUGAAGAUGACACUCUUAGGGCAGAACUGAGAGAGUAGUCUACUGUCAGGGAAUGUGAGUAUUUGGAUGAAACAUCAAACCAAACUCUUUUCUGUCCAUUCAGUUGAACUCAGAAGAUCCCAUAACAUUCUUUAGAAGAAAAACAGAGAAGUUCUACCCAACAUCCUUGCCACUAUAUCCUUUAUCCAACAAGACUACAUUUGAUUCUUUAUUUGCUGCGUGAUAUGUGGGAGAUUCUGAUGCCUUGGUGUCCUACAAGUGACUGUAUCAGAAUUACUUUUGACUGUGAUUGUGUGCAAAGCAGUCCAUAAAUGCAAGUCCUUCUUUGGUACUCUACAAAUAGUUUAUUGAUAGAAUAUAAUGCCAUGCUGUCUAGCUUUGUAAUUCAAUAAUUUUGAUGGGUCUGACAUGUUACAAUGAAUUUCUCUUGACUUUGUUAAUGCAUCUUUAAUUCACAAAAUGAAAUCAUUAAUGAAACUUCUUAAUUGGAACCAACAUCCUUUUGUAAUGAAAUGAUAUUUCCAUCAAUUGUGGUUUUGGAAGUGCAAUGGAACCAGUUCACUUUGCACUCCCCUCCCCUAUGAUUUCACAUUCGAAGGUGAAGAUUCUGGCCUAGAUUCUGUAACUUUUUCCCCUGUAUUUUUCUGGAUAUUAUUUUCUCCCUGCUAGUCUGGGAAGCUGUUCAUAAAUCUUGCUAUAUUUCAGGUUGUUGUUUUUUUCAGCUUGAAAAUCAUGUGCAAAAGAAAAUUGUUAACAAAUAACCCAAAAAAGAUUCUUGCCAACUUUGACUGCUUCCAAAACCUCAUGGCAAGCUCUUCUGUUUAUAUGAUUGUAGAAUUACUUAAAGAAGAUUAGUUCCAGAAAAUUACAGGGGAAUUAAUCAGGCUAUCAGUUUAAGGAGGUUUUUGUUCCAAAGUGUGAACAUAACAACAGAAGAAAUUGGAGCAGGAAGUGGUCAUUUGUCCCCUUGAGCCUGCUCCACCAUUUCAUACAAUCUGAACUGAUCUGACUGUAUCCUUAACUCCAUUAUCCUGUCUAUUUUCCCAAGCCCUUGACUCACUAGUAUACUAUAAACCUGUCUAUUGAAUAUAUUAAAUGACCCAGCCACCAGUGCUCAAUGAGGAAAGAGAAUUCAAAGCAUUGAUAGCCCUCCAAGAGAAUAAACGCCUUCUCAUUUUUGACUAAAUAACUUUGAAAAUGUGCCUUUUUGUUCUACCUCAGCUCAUGACUGUAAUGACCUCUCAGCAUCCAACCUGUCAAACCCCCAACAAUCUAAUACAUUUCAAAAAAGAUCACCUCCAAUCCUUCUCCAAAUUCCAAUGAGUAUAGUCUCAACCUGCUCUAAGUAUCACUUAAAAAAAAGCCUAUCCAUUCCAGGAACUAUCUCAGCGAGCCUUCUCAAGACAUCCUCCCAUGCAAAUAUGUCCCUCUUUUAACAAAGGGACAAAAUAAAACUCAGUAAUCCAAGCAUUGUCUCAUUGGCAUCCUAUGUAGUUGAAGUAAGGUUUAUAUUUGCUUCAAUGUUUAAU